AGGGUCCUGUGCAGCAACGGGGACGCCAUUGAGUGUCGUUGGCGUGUCGACCACUUCCCAGGUUCUAGCAGAUUGUUGGUGGAGACCGCUACAGCAGGCUGGUGCAGACUGGUGGUGUUGGUGGGGACCGCUACAGCCAUCGGAAGGGAUUUGGCAGGAGGUGGAGCCUUCUUUGCUUGACUUUUACUGCCAAGGUAGCUUUUUCCCUUCCCAUGGUUCUUCCCUUUCAUUAUUGAUGCAUUUACCUGCAAUCCUGAGCCUCAACCUGGUGUAUUUGGUGAUCACUCUCCUCUUGACAUCAUGGCAGGAUGGAAGGUUUGAUUUCACAGUCAUGGCCUCUUCCACUAGUUCACUGACUGAGCACUCCAUUAGGGCUUCUGAUGUCCUGGCCCGGAACAGCUGCUCAACGUGCUGCAGUAAAGAGAAUACAUCCGCAGAUGGCUGGUGAAGUGCGCCCUCUCUGUACUCCUUCAUCUGCAGCAGUGUGGCGUUGUCCGGUACAGCGUCGUCACUGUUCCUUAAGGCAGGCUUACAGGCCGAACACAAAGAGCCGCCUAGUACACCCUUGAUGACGUAUCCGGCCAGAUGGUAUAGCACACAGGACUCCGCUUUUGUGGAAAUGAUUCUGCUCCUACUGCAUGAGACUGCUGCUGUUGAUGGGGAAGUGCUUUUGCCAGAAAUGGCUUAGUUGCAGGUGGUGGCUUUCUUGAGUUGCACUGAUAAGGUUGAUGCUUUCAAUGCAUUGGAAGUUCCAGCAUGUUCCAGUGAAUUCCAAUUCUUCAUGCAUUAUUGAUUUCACACACACACACACACACACACACACACACACACACACACACACACACACACACACACACACGUCUUGUCAUGUACACAGACAUGCCGUUUUAUUCAUAGUUAUUUUGUUUGGGCUGUUUAUGUUUCUAUUUGGAGUAUUUUUUUUAUUUCAAAUAAAAGAUUGAACCAUUCAAGCACAGGUUGUACAGCUGUGGGUUAUUUACUUCAUGUUCAUUGCAUCAUGUUCAUGUUCAUUUGCAUCCUGCAUUGAGUGGUUUGACAGGUCUGAUGAUGACCAGCAUCAUAAAGGCUGAAAUUAACAAAUGCUAUAUUACUGUAGGCCUACAACUGGGACAUGCUGGGUUUAUGUAUUUAUCUUUUUAUGUAUUGGAAGUAUUUUAUCCAUUAAAAUAUCCUACUGCAAAUCUGCUGAAUCCAAAACAAAUAGACAUUAUCAAGGGCUACGGACAAUUAGCAUCUCAAUGGUAAGUAAUGGAGCUUCCUAGCUAAGAUGACGUUUCCCUCCCAAAGUGUAACUGCAAUGAUAUUACCGUAUUACGGUACUGACACUUCAAUGUUUUUAUAUGACAAUGAAGGCCAUAAAAUGGCCUACAAAAAAACAAAACGAACUCGUUCUUUUGGGGGCGGCAUAAUCUGAUAUAAUUACCGUUAAAGGACGCUCUCGCUCAAUGAAAUGUAUUGACAGCUCCCGGUGUAUAGGACCCUUCUGCGGUGGGCGUAGACUACGCAAACCACGUGACCACUCGUCGGCAAAGAUCAAAGGAUGCUCCAACUCUUUUCUCU